rnacentral:rRNA from 1 species
AUUGAACGCUGGCGGCAGGCCUAACACAUGCAAGUCGAACGAGUGGCGGACGGGUGAGUAAUGUCUGGGAAACUGCCCGAUGGAGGGGGAUAACUACUGGAAACGGUAGCUAAUACCGCAUACCAUCGGAUGUGCCCAGAUGGGAUUAGCUAGUAGGUGGGGUAACGGCUCACCUAGGAGACGAUCCCUAGCUGGUCUGAGAGGACUACCAGCAACACUGUAACUGCGAUCCUGUCCAGACUCCUACGGGAGGCAGCAGUGGGGAAUAUUGCACAAUGGGCGCAAGCCUGAUGCAGCCAUGCCGCGUGUAUGAAGAAGGCCUUCGGGUUGUAAAGUACUUUCAGCUGGGAGGCGUUACCCGCAGAAGAAGCACCGGCUAACUCCGUGCCAGCAGCCGCGGUAAUAC